rnacentral:rRNA from 1 species
AGAGUUUGAUCAUGGCUCAGGAUGAACGCUGGCGGCGUGCUUAACACAUGCAAGUCGAACGAGCUCUUCGGAGCGAGUGGCGGACGGGUGAGUAACGCGUGAGGAUCUGCCCUCAGGAGGGGGACAACGACUGGAAACGGUCGCUAAUACCCCAUAUGCCGAGAGGUGAAAUGUUUUUUCGCCUGAGGAUGAACUCGCGUCUGAUUAGCUAGUUGGUGGGGUGAAGGCCUACCAAGGCGACGAUCAGUAGCUGGUCUGAGAGGAUGAUCAGCCACACUGGGACUGAGACACGGCCCAGACUCCUACGGGAGGCAGCAGUGGGGAAUUUUCCGCAAUGGGCGCAAGCCUGACGGAGCAACGCCGCGUGAGGGAGGAAGGCCCUAGGGUUGUAAACCUCUUUUCUCAAGGAAGAAGAUCUGACGGUACUUGAGGAAUAAGCCUCGGCUAACUCCGUGCCAGCCGCCGCGGUAAUUC